UUUAUUUUUAUUACAGAUAUUUCUUUUUUACUCCAACACCGUGUUCGUGUCGAUCGGCGAUUCCCAAACUGUGCACCGCAGAACCCUAGGGGCACUGUAAGCCCGCUCCAAGGGCCCAACGGCUCACACUGAGAAAAAAAUGGUCUAUGAUAUUUAUUGUAAUUUCCUUUUGUUAAUUUCGAUUUUCCUCGUGAAUCAUUUCAUAUUGUUUUUUUUGACAUUUAUAGCGGUUUUUCUGCUUUAUGAUAUAUUUUGUGUUUUUCUCAAUGGGAACUCCAGAAACAAUCUUUUCAUUCGUUGUGUCCGCGAUGUUCAUUAUCGCAAAGCUAACCGACAGGAGUUGAUCCGAUAAAUGGCACCGUGCUCUAAAAACUUUGGGAACCUUUGGCGCAAGAUAUUACAUUAUAAUCCACACAGCAGAAAUCAUUAUAUUAUGUCCUUCCGAGAAAAUCGUCUAGGACACGUUAUUUUAUGUACUACUCAAAAUGUUUAUCAUGACCAGUUGUUAUAUAGGUAAACUCGAUUGUGUUGUGUUUCGUGCAGCCAAUAGACGAGCGAGACAUUGCGUCAUAAACUCGCGUCACCGAAACGAUUAUCCGGAGACGAUAAAAUACAGAUGAUUUUUUUAUCUUCGUAAUCACCUAUCACCGGAUUAUCAGCAGGUUAUACUUGCGUACCUGUGCGU